AUNCAACUNNCUGGAUAGAGCAACGGCCUUCUAAGCCGUAGGUCACAGGUUCGAAUCCUGUAGGGCGUGCCA
rnacentral:tRNA from 1 species